rnacentral:rRNA from 1 species
GACGAACGCUGGCGGCGUGCCUAAUACAUGCAAGUAGGACGCAGUUGCGAACGGGUGAGUAGCGCGUAGGUAACUACCUAUUAGAGGGGGAUAACUAUUGGACACGAUAGCUAAUAACGCAUACCAGUAGAUGGACCUGCGUUGUAUUAGCUAGUAGGGAGGGUAAUGGCCUACCUAGGCAACGAUACAUAGCCGACCGGAGAGGGUGAUCGGCCACACUGGGACUGAGACACGGCCCAGACUCCUACGGGAGGCAGCAGUGGGGAAUCUUCGGCAAUGGGGGGAACCCUGACCGAGCAACGCCGCGUGAGUGAAGAAGGUUUUCGGAUCGUAAAACUCUGUUGUUAGAGAAGCGGUAUCUAACCAGAAAGCCACGGCUAACUACGUGCCAGCAGCCGCGGUAAUUC